UACAGAGGGUGCGAGCGUUAAUCGGAAUUACUGGGCGUAAAGCGUGCGUAGACGGUAGCGUAAGUCAGAUGUGAAAGCCCCGGGCUCAACCUGGGAACUGCAUUUGAGACUGCUCUGCUCGGGUGCGGAAGAGGGAAGCGGAAUUUCCGGUGUAGCGGUGAAAUGCGCAGAUAUCGGGAAGAACACCCGUGGCGAAGGCGGCUCUCUGGGACGGUACUGACGCUGAGACGCGAAAGCGUGGGGAGCGAACAGG
rnacentral:rRNA from 1 species